rnacentral:lncRNA from 1 species
CCUUUGUACUACAUGUUGAAUGUGGUCUCUCAUUUUUCUUACAGUAACCACUUGUUGUAUUUUUUUUUAAUGUCUCUUGGAACUGUGUAUUCUCCCAAUUAUCCACGAGAACCAAACAUUGUUAUGACCAUCCCCGACUGUCGUCGGGGAUGGUUUUCCUGCAAAAAUAUUAGAAAUGUGUGAAAGCAGAGCCAACAUGCAAAAAUAAUGAAAAAUAAAUGAGUGUGACCUCAUAGUCAAAGAUUCCCCUGAUUUAUGUUUUUAACUUGAGAUUAAUGUCUUGUGAAAUAUAAACACUUGAACUUCGCGAAUCCUCUUGUCCCCUUGCAACUUUGGACGAACAAUGACUUCUAAAUUCUGACAUAGAUCAAUCUCUCGCUUAAAAAAGAAGAAUAAACUCAAAAGAUAAAAGUGUUAAUUUGUAUUCAUAACGAAUAAUGCAAAAUAUCACAAAAAAAUAUAUAAUUAAUUAAACACAUAAGCACUACUUUGAUUGAAAACAAACUCA